rnacentral:siRNA from 1 species
AGCUCCUUCGGUGUGACUGAUCUC